rnacentral:lncRNA from 1 species
CAUGAUUCUCUCUAUUUUUUCCAGUCACCAUGAAAGAAAAAAUUAUUUAGAAAUUCCAACUCUGAGAAUGCUCAGAAAGAUGGCAAGUUUUACAGAUGAAAAGCCAUCAAUGGAUUUCUAAAUUCCACAGAUUUGUCAUGUGCAGAGCUAUUGGAUCAGGUAAGUGCCAAGUUCCCCAUAAAAAAAUAUAGGAAGAGGAAUAUGACAGUUGUUGGAUAUGCAUCAGUACAAAUGUAAUGAUUUUCUUGCUUUCAAAAUACUUGAGGUUCAUAAUUUAUGCCAAUCUCUUUCAUUGUAACAUUCCUUUAUUUUUUUUCCUGUCGCUCCAUUUGACUUAGUAGGGGAAAAAAAAAAAAGGAAGAAAUAAUCCUAUGAGCUUGGUUUGAUGGAAAUAAAGAUAAUUUUUGGUGUUGCCA